UACAGAGGUCUCAAGCGUUGUUCGGAUUCAUUGGGCGUAAAGGGUGCGUAGGCGGCGCGGUAAGUCGGGUGUGAAAUCUCGGAGCUUAACUCCGAAACUGCAUUCGAUACUGCCGUGCUUGAGGACUGGAGAGGAGACUGGAAUUUACGGUGUAGCGGUGAAAUGCGUAGAUAUCGUAAGGAAGACCAGUGGCGAAGGCGGGUCGUCUGGA
rnacentral:rRNA from 1 species